UACAGAGGGUGCGAGCGUUAAUCGGAAUUACUGGGCGUAAAGCGUGCGUAGACGGCUAUCUAAGUCGGGUGUGAAAGCCCCGGGCUCAACCUGGGAAUUGCAUUCGAGACUGAAUAGCUAGGGUACGGUAGAGGGAAGCGGAAUUUCCGGUGUGGCGGUGAAAUGCUUAGAUAUCGUCAAGAACACCUAUAGCGAAGGCAGCUUACUAGGCUGUAACUGACGCUGAGGCACGAAAGUGUGGGGAUCAAACAGG
rnacentral:rRNA from 1 species